rnacentral:rRNA from 1 species
UACGUAGGGCGCAAGCGUUAUCCGGAAUUAUUGGGCGUAAAGAGCUCGUAGGCGGUUUGUCGCGUCUGCCGUGAAAGUCCGGGCUCAACUCCGGAUCUGCGGUGGGUACGGGCAGACUAGAGUGCGGUAGGGGAGACUGGAAUUCCUGGUGUAGCGGUGAAAUGCGCAGAUAUCAGGAGGAACACCGGUGGCGAAGGCGGGUCUCUGGGCCGUAACUGACGCUGAGGAGCGAAAGCGUGGGGAGCGAACAGG